rnacentral:rRNA from 1 species
AUUGAACGCUGGCGGCAGGCCUAACACAUGCACGUCGAACGAGUGGCGGACGGGUGAGUAAUGUCUGGGAAACUGCCUGAUGGAGGGGGAUAACUACUGGAAACGGUAGCUAAUACCGCAUACCAUCAGAUGUGCCCAGAUGGGAUUAGCUAGUAGGUGGGGUAAAGGCUCACCUAGGCGACGAUCCCUAGCUGGUCUGCGAGGAUGACCAGCAACACUGGAACGUAGACACGGUCCAGACUCCUACGGGAGGCAGCAGUGGGGAAUAUUGCACAAUGGGCGCAAGCCUGAUGCAGCCAUGCCGCGUGUAUGAAGAAGGCCGUCGGGUUGUAAAGUACUUUCAGCGGGGAGGCGUUACCCGCAGAAGAAGCACCGGCUAACUCCGUGCCAGCCGCCGCGGUAAUUC